GCAAGUCGAGCGCUCCUCUUCGGAGGGGAGCGGCGAACGGGUGAGUAACGCGUGGGAACGUACCUUUUGGUUCGGGACAACCCUGGGAAACUGGGGCUAAUACCGGAUAAGCUCUACGGAGGAAAGAUUUAUCGCCGAAAGAUCGGCCCGCGUUGGAUUAGCUUGUUGGUGAGGUAAUGGAGCACAAAGGCAUCGAUCCAGAGCUGGUCGGAGAGGAUGAGC
rnacentral:rRNA from 1 species